GUGGAUUAGAUACCCGAGUAGUCCACGCCGUAAACGAUGGAUACUAGCUGUUGGAAGCAAUUUCAGUGGCUAAGCGAAAGUGAUAAGUAUCCCACCUGGGGAGUACGUUCGCAAGAAUGAAACUCAAAGGAAUUGACGGGGGCCCGCACAAGCGGUGGAGCAUGUGGUUUAAUUCGAUGAUACGCGAGGAACCUUACCAAGGCUUAAAUGUAGUUUGACCGGUUUGGAAACAGAUCUUUCGCAAGACAAAUUACAAGGUGCUGCAUGGUCGUCGUCAGCU
rnacentral:rRNA from 1 species